UCAAACCUUCAUAACUGCAAAAAUAAAAGUCCAAAAACCAUGAAACUUUCACCAAUAGAUUACAUAUCAUUUGUUCUACACGAUGAUGCUAUCAAAUCAGAGUUUUGAUGAAAUUACGAUUUUGCCCCUGUAGAGCAUAAGGUCUUUUUCACAUAAAAAUUAUUUGUAUCCCUUCCAACUGUUUUGUAGUCAUCAAAAUCAAUCUAGGAGCAACA
rnacentral:lncRNA from 1 species